rnacentral:rRNA from 1 species
AUUGAACGCUGGCGGCAGGCUUAACACAUGCAAGUCGAGCGAGCGGCGGACGGGUGAGUAAUGUAUGGGGAACUGCCUGAUGGAGGGGGAUAACUACUGGAAACGGUAGCUAAUACCGCAUACCAUCAGAUGAACCCAGAUGGGAUUAGCUAGUAGGUGGGGUAAUGGCUCACCUAGGCGACGAUCUCUAGCUGGUCUGAGAGGAUGACCAGCCACACUGGAACGGAGACACGGCCCAGACUCCUACGGGAGGCAGCAGUGGGGAAUAUUGCACAAUGGGCGCAAGCCUGAUGCAGCCAUGCCGCGUGUAUGAAGAAGGCCUUCGGGUUGUAAAGCACUUUCAGCGAGGAGGCGUUACCCGCAGAAGAAGCACCGGCUAACUCCGUGCCAGCAGCCGCGGUAAUAC